rnacentral:rRNA from 1 species
CACGCAGGCGGUUGGAUAAGUUAGAUGUGAAAGCCCCGGGCUCAACCUGGGAAUUGCAUUUAAAACUGUCCGGCUAGAGUCUUGUAGAGGGGGGUAGAAUUCCAGGUGUAGCGGUGAAAUGCGUAGAGAUCUGGAGGAAUACCGGUGGCGAAGGCAGCCCCCUGGGACAAUACUGACGCUCAGGCACGAAAGCGUGGGGAGCAAACAGGAUUAGAUACCCGCGUA